rnacentral:lncRNA from 1 species
AGCCGCCCACCCAUUUUCCCUAUUCUUCUUCCCGUCCUGCCGCAGCCAACCGCAGUCAGCCGCCCCAUCCGUUCGCACAGCAACUGCCGUCGGCCAUCUCCAUCUUCUCUUUUCCUCUCCGUUCCGUCCAAACCCAGCCGGACGUCGCUGCAACCGUCGGCCGCCAUCUCUGUUCGCGAAGCAAGGCCGCCGCGUGAACCUGUAACCGCCGGCUGUCUCCCCUCUCCUUUCUCCUCUGUUUUCAGCCCAGCCGCCGCCGAUUCCUUCUCCUCCGUUGUCUGCACUGCCGCGCGACUCUCCGGCCAUCUGUAUACGGUCUCUCCGCCGCACGUCAUCUCUUCGCAAAGCCACUGCUCGAUUUCUUUCGCGAAGAUUUGGGUAAGUUGCAAAAAGAUUCACAUUGGGUUGAAUUUAAAUGACUGAUGCGUUGAAGGGAAUUAUUGAGAAAUUGUCUUAAUGUUUAGGUUCGUUCUUCAUAGACUUCAACGUGGUUAAGGAGCUUAACAAAUUUGAAGGUAAGGAUUUUCUACUGGACUCACUUAUGAUUGUGAAUUGUAUGUCUGAAUGAUUAUCUUUGACUGAGUAAAGAUGUUGAGAUGAUACUUAUGAAUGUACACUGUGGAUUGACUGAAAAUAUAUAUAUAUGCAUAGGAAUUGAAGUAGACUUAAUGUUGAAUGCAUAUUGUGAUUGUCAUGGAAUAUAUAUAUAUGUGUGUGGAUGUGGACAGGACGAAAAUUGUAGAUUAUGCUUGUAUGAGAUGCAGAUGCGAUCUUGUGAUUGUCGUUUAGAUUGGGUGUCGUUACGCUAAAGUAUGACUGUGUGCUGGUGAUCUGAGGGGUGUAUUGACUGUAUAGUUUGAUUGACUGAUGUAUUAGUAUGUUAUUGACAGACAUAUGACCUAAGUGAGAUAAGUUGACUGUUAGGACGUUGAGAGAAAGAACUCUAUGUUUUGAAGUAUCUGAAAAAUGGAUUGAAUGGAAUGAGGGGAUAAAUUGUUAGGUUGUAUUGGGAUGAUUACCUUGUAGGUGUCCCACGGGAUCACCAAUUUAUUUUGCACCUUCGGGAGCAUUUGACUGAUAUGUGUUCUGCAGAACACUUGACUGAUAUGUACGUCCCUCGGGGCGUCAGACUGAUAUGUACGUCCUUCGGGGCGUUAGACUGAGAUGUGUAUCCUACGGGAUCACAAGACUGCGACUGUACAGGGUGUCCCAAUAGAACUUUAACAAUUUAUUUUUCCCCUGACGAGACCAGUAGAGGGUCUCUUACUGAGUAUUUAAAAUACUCACCCUUCUUAUGUUUAAUUUUCAGGCAAAGGUAAUAAAGGCGGCAAACCGGCGAGGGGCAGGAAGGAAGCGUGAUGCCAUAGGAAACGUGUAAUUGCUUCCGCUUAUUUAAGAUUGAUUUGAAAUUUAGUUCACAAACGUUUGUUACAAACAGUAUUAUUUUAUGUUUUCUUGAAUGUUUAAAAAUCAGGCCUGACUUGAAG